GAUGAACGCUGGCGGCGUGCCUAAUACAUGCAAGUCGAGCGAACAGACGAGGAGCUUGCUCCUCUGACGUUAGCGGCGGACGGGCGAGUAACACGUGGAUAACCUACCUAUAAGACUGGGAUAACUUCGGGAAACCGGAGCUAAUACCGGAUAAUAUAUUGAACCGCAUGGUUCAAUAGUGAAAGACGGUUUUGCUGUCACUUAUAGAUGGAUCCGCGCCGCAUUAGCUAGUUGGUAAGGUAACGGCUUACCAAGGCGACGAUGCGUAGCCGACCUGAGAGGGUGAUCGGCCACACUGGAACUGAGACACGGUCCAGACUCCUACGGGAGGCAGCAGUAGGGAAUCUUCCGCAAUGGGCGAAAGCCUGACGGAGCAACGCCGCGUGAGUGAUGAAGGUCUUCGGAUCGUAAAACUCUGUUAUUAGGGAAGAACAAAUGUGUAAGUAACUAUGCACGUCUUGACGAUACCUAAUCAGAAAGCCACGGCUAACUACGUG
rnacentral:rRNA from 1 species